AGCUUUGCGCAGUGGCAGUAUCGUAGCCAAUGAGGUUUAUCCGAGGCGCGAUUAUUGCUAAUUGAAAACUUUUCCCAAUACCCCCAUGACGACUUGAAAUAUAGUCGGCAUUGGCAAUUUUUGACAGUCUCUACGGAGA
rnacentral:snRNA from 1 species